GGACUACUGGGGUUUCUAAUCCUGUUUGCUCCCCACGCUUUCGUGCAUGAGCGUCAGUUUUGACCCAGGGGGCUGCCUUCGCCAUCGGUGUUCCUCCACAUAUCUACGCAUUUCACUGCUACACGUGGAAUUCUACCCCCCUCUGCCAAACUCUAGCCUUGCAGUCACCAUCGCCAUUCCCAGGUUGAGCCCGGGGAUUUCACGACAGUCUUACAAAACCGCCUGCGCACGCUUUACGCCCAGUAAUUCCGAUUAACGCUUGCACCCUACGUAUUACCGCGGCGGCUGGCAC
rnacentral:rRNA from 2 species